CGACAGGCGUAGUCGAUGGACAACCGGUUGAUAUUCCGGUACCCGCUUUGAAGCGCCAAACAUCGAAUCCUCUGAUGCUAAGGCCGUGAAGCCGCCCUGGAGUCUUCGGACAAAGGGGAGUGGUGGAGCCGCUGAUCCAAGGUGGUAGUAGGUGAGUGAUGGGGUGACGCAGGAAGGUAGUCCAGCCCGGGCGGUGGUUGUCCCGGGGUAAG
rnacentral:rRNA from 1 species